CUCAAAAAAGGUCGUCUGGCUUCGGCGUAAUAAGAAGCCCUAACCCUAGAAUUUUCCAUAAAGGAGGAACUCGAACCCUUAUUUAAAGGCAAGCCAUUCAUUUGCUGCAGAUGCAUCUUAAGUUCUGAGCCUUGAUUAAGAGAGCGGGUUGUAUUGAAACGUUGUUGAAAUGUAACGUUUCAAAAUGAAGAUCCGUAUACCUGGAGGCUAUUGUUUCUUAGAGUGGGUGGAAUUGGAAAGAGAAUAUACUGGUAUUGUGCACCAACCUUACCUCUAAGUUGUUUGUGACAUCAAUAAAUAUCCUCUAGACAUAUUUGACAUUAUUGUAAUGCCCAUUAGGCUCAUUAAUUCUAUAGUUUCCUUUUUUGACUUUCUUGCAUGCAUUUAUUUAUGCAGUUGUAUUAUUGGUGAAUGACUUGUAAGAGCAGCAAAAGUUUUAAAUCUCCAUCAAUUUAUGGACAAUCGGAAAACACGCGAAUGCUAAAAUUUAAUACUGAGGUGUUUAGUGUCCACCAUUUUCUCUAUAAAUGCAUUACAAAUAUGCAAAUGAGAAAUAAAAAUAUCUUGAAAUAUAAAUCAAUAUUUCGCAUC